GAUGAACGCUGGCGGCGUGCCUAAUACAUGCAAGUCGAGCGAAAAGACGAGGAGCUUGCUCCUCUGACGUUAGCGGCGGACGGGAGAGUAACACGUGGAUAACCUACCUAUAAGACUGGGAUAACUUCGCGAAACCGGAGCUAAUACCGGAAAAUAUAUUGAACCGGAUGGUUCAAUAGUGAAAGACGGUUGUGCGGUCACUUAUAGAUGGAUCCGCGCCGCAUUAGCUAGUUGGUAAGGUAACGGCUUACCAAGGCAACGAUGCGUAGCCGACCUGAGAGGGUGAUCGGCCACACUGGAACUGAGACACGGUCCAGACUCCUACGGGAGGCAGCAGUAGGGAAUCUUCCGCAAUGGGCGAAAGCCUGACGGAGCAACGCCGCGUGAGUGAUGAAGGUCUUCGGAUCGUAAAACUCUGUUAUUAGGGAAGAACAAAUGUGUAAGUAACUAUGCACGUCUUGACGGUACCUAAUCAGAAAGCCACGGCUAACUACGUG
rnacentral:rRNA from 1 species